UACGAAGGGUGCGAGCGUUAUUCGGAGUGAUUGGGCGUAAAGGGUGUGUAGGCGGUAUGUUAAGUUAAUUGUCAAAUUCCUCGGCCUAACCGAGGCAAGGCGGUUAAAACUGGCAAACUUGAGGAUGGAAGAGAGAAGUGGAAUUCUCGGAGUAGCGGUAAAAUGCGUAGAUCUCGAGAGGAACACCGAUGGCGAAGGCAGCUUCUUGGUCCAUUUCUGACGCUGAGGCACGAAAGCGUGGGGAGCAAACAGG
rnacentral:rRNA from 1 species